UACAGAGGUCCCAAGCGUUACUGAGAAUCACUGGGCUUAAAGGGCGCGUAGGCGGGCUCCCAAGUCGGUGGUGAAAUCUUUCGGCCCAACCGGAAAAGUGCCGCCGAUACUGGGAGCCUCGAGGGAGGUAGGGGUCGAGGGAACUCUAGGUGGAGCGGUGAAAUGCGUAGAUAUCUGGAGGAACGCCGGUGGCGAAAGCGCUCGACUGGACCUCUUCUGACGCUGAGGCGCGAAAGCCAGGGGAGCAAACGGG
rnacentral:rRNA from 1 species